CACAUAUACUUUUAAAUAUAUAAAACUACGAUAAUACCUUUAUCGAUGUAAAAUAACAUAUUUAUCUGUCGUUAGAUAAAAUCAAAUCUGAUGACGCCAUUAGAACAAUUCAAUCGGCACAAUCAUUGAAAUAUCUAAUCGUACAUUCAUAGUUUAUAAUAUUUAAUACGUUUUCAUGUUAAAUGGUCAAGAAAUAAAAAGAAAGAAUUAUGAGGAUCGUUCGAAAGAAUUAAGAUUAGACGAUCGUUCAAUUACGAACGACAACGUAAUGCGUUCUUUACGUAACGAAAAAAAAAACGAAUCAUUGCAAUUUUAGAGGGAAUCGUAGAUUUUUAUAACGGAAAUAAAUCGUUGUGGAUUAUCUUCUAAAUGAUAUAGCGCGCGAGGUCGAGGUUCAACUUGUGUAAAUUAAACGUCGAAAGAAUCAAAUGCUCGAUAAUGAAUUUGAUUUGCGCAUUUCUUCUUUUCUAUCUCGGUGAAUCAAAUUUGGACGAGUAGAUUACGAAGAUAUUAAAAUGGAGGUUAAGUUUUACGUUUCGAAAUUUCGUCUUUGGCUUCGAAGAUAAGUGUCGAGCUCAAAAAUUUCCAGUAAACACGUACCAAGUGUCCUCGGGAUUUCCUACGUAUGUAUGUAUAUACCUAUAUCUAUAGAUAAACUAGAUAAGAAAAAUAUCGUCACGCGUUAUUUUCAAAGAUGAUCGUCGAAAAUAAAAUUGGGCUCAUUUAUAAUUCGAAUGGAACAAUUAUCAUUUUUCUUUUCUUUUUUUUCUUUCUUUCUUUUUUCUUUUUUUUUUUUUUCUUCUUCUUUUUCUUUCUUUAGAUAACAUUAUGCAUUGGAAAACAGGCCUUUUUUUCACAAAGAAAUUCUAUUAUUAGAAAUUUCAUAUAUACAUUGAACAUACAUCUAAUCAACUACUUGUUGAUUAUUCGAACGUAUAAUUUCUUCUGUCUUUUUCGAUUCUUUUUCGAGCGUUACAAAUAUCUUUUGCAGUCGUUAUGACUUUUCUUAUUAGAAUUAAGAAAGAGUUAAAAAGAGUGAGAGAGAGAGAGGCUCGAUUAUUCGCGACGUUCGAAAAGACAUUUACGAGCUUGUACGUCUUCUGUGCAGCAAAUACAUUUAAGUAGUUUAAGUAAAUCUACUACACGUGCAAUACAAUACACACACACACACACACACACAUAUAUAUAUAUAUAUAUAUGCACAUACAUUAAGCACGUAAUCGUCUAGUGUGUCUCUCUACAAAACCGAAGAUGCGAGCGUUAUGAAACACGCACUUGCCGGAAGAAUUCUUUCUCUCUCUCUCUCUCUCUCUCUCUUUCUUUCUAUAUCUUUGCCAAUGUAUUCGUGGUGACGAUAAUUACAUUUGGUUUCUUCUCGACACUUAACAAUUUAUUAGCCUAUAGUUCUUAUCUCAACUUGAUCGCAAGACGGCAUAAAAAAAGAGAAAGUAUUACUUUUCAUACUUUUCAUAAAGCCCAUCGAACGUUUUUAACAAUUUUUAAUAUCUAUAAAAGUUAGAUUUUGACGAUUUAAUGACACCCUUCGUUCGACCAAUCACUUUGCUCGAUCGUUCCGGGCGCGAUUUUUGAAAUUUAAUUUUUCUUUCUCCUUGUUCGAUAUUCGCGUUACUAACACAUUACAUGUUGCACGUUCUUACGCAUUAUUACACGUAGGAAAGAUCGCGUUUCUCUCGAACAAGAUGGGUGGAGUUCGAACUCGCUUGCUUAUCGCGAUAAUUAAAUGGAGUUAUUUAUGAUGGUAUAUCGCGAAUUACGAACGCAAUGCCGAGCUUAUGUUCUCCUCUAUAUGCGCUAUCAAACGUAAUAUCUCGAAAGUAUAAUGACUUUUGUUUGUCGUCUGGUGCCGUUAGUCUGGUCCAUCUCUUUUCAACGAGGAAUCUUUUGCAAUAAACCUUUUCCACAUUUCCGAUAAGCAAAUACGUGCGAAAGAUAUACUUGGAAAGGAAAUAUUUCAUAGAGUUUCAUUGAGCGAACAAAAAGCAAUGAAAUACGACGAUGGGUGUUACGUUUCCUUCGAUGAUUUCGACAUUCCCCUUUCAUUCAUUUACGCAUAGACGAUCACACGAGUUCGACAAUUUCUACGAAGUGACGUAAGGGGAGGACAAUGCGUAUGUUGUGCCUUUCUAACCACAUCGGAGAAGAUGCAUUUAAAUGUCUAUAGCUACGUUAAGCAAUUCGAGGAGUAUCAAAGGAUUAGCCUCCAGGGUGCCGUGAACGCAACGCAUGCGAACGCAUGCUAGGAGAAACAUCGAAUAGCACGGAAAGCGUGCCUCAAACUCGCUUCUCGAGCUCGUUAUCGGGGAGGUGCGAGCUACUUCUCCCUCUUUAGCGUUGCCACCUGAUUGCAUGGCAAACAUGAGCUACUCGCGUUAGCUCGUGCCAUCGGUUGUUAACACUUUCUUUAGACCGAUACUAUAGGAUCCUGCUCGACUUUGUCUACUUAAGAUGCGAUUAUGUCUCAUCUUUUCUUUUCUUUUUUUUUUCUUUUUCUUUUUCUUCCAAAAUUUCGAUGCACCUACAAAUUAAUUUCUACAGAAUAUAGAUGCCGCGUACGUACGCACACAGCGAAAGAUCUUUUAGGAUGAAAUGAUAAAAUAUUCUCGGCAUCGAAAUGAUCUUAAUUACAUGAGAAGUCUUUACUCGCAAAGUCUACCGCAAUUAUCGCACAUCGACUAAUGCCCGAACAAACUACGGAGAGAUAUAAAAAAGUUGCGACUCUUAAGGUUUACUUGAGAAAAAUGAAUUUGCACAAACGAACGUCUGACGAAGGUAGAAGAACGAGUGACGUGGAUGGCUCUCCGUGUCCGCUCAUAUACUCUACCUGCGCCGAUCUGACGUCACGGGUUUCGUUUCUUAUCAGUAGUCAGGAGCGCCAACACCUGUAUAGCCAAGCACCUGUUCGUCGAAACCUUCGAUGAUCGCGCGACCGCGCCUGUUCUGCAGAUCGUCCACCCUACUUUUCUAAUUCAUCAUUAUCUUGAUGAUGGAUCUUUGGAUCUACAGCAACGACAAGUUUUAAAGUUUUCUUAAAUGAAUGCAAAACGAAGGGUUGCUUUUCAAAUGACAUGAGAGAAACAUGGAACAUGUUCGUUCUUUUACAACAGUAUCACGCGUGGUUUUAUACGAUGCGUAAUGUCUUAUCUCGUGUCCUAGUUACAUCACUGCUACCCUGACUAUACAUACUAUAUAUACGCUAAUGAUACCUAUAAGGUAGAUCGAGAUCGAGUAAAGGAUCGCAUAAUGAUUUAAUGUCAAUUCUCAUUGAAUAUGUUAAAAGGAUAGAUUUUUUUAUUUAUUUCAAUAUUGAAUGAUAUGAAUUGUGCGAAAGAAAGUAUAUGCGUGCGAGAAAGAUGGAUCGAACGUCUACAAAAAUUAUAUACACAGUUAACUUAGCAUAACGAAAAACAAUUCAAAGUUAUUAAUGUUAAAGAAUAUAGAAAUGUAUUAAAAUUAUUUUAUAUAAAAUAAUAAAUUUCUUUUGUAAGGUCAUACUAUUGAAAUUUUCUUUAAAAUUUCAUUGUAAUAAUGGAUAAGUUUGCGUUAUUAAUAAUGCGUAAUAAAUAUAUGAAUCAGCUGUCAGAAAAAAUAUUGUACAUUUUUUGUGACUUUGUUGAUAGUUGUUUUAAAAAGAAGAGAAUAUAAUAUCUACGAGCCUAUAUGGAAAUAAAAAGUCUGGGCUCUUCCAAGAAUUAUGUAGGUCAGUAUCCAUCGUAUGUAUGCGUGUAGGUGCCUAUAUGUAAGAAAAAUCAUGCGUGAGACAAAUACAUGUGCAAGUUUUUACGAACGUUUACUGUCGGUGAGCUCGGCAUUCGUGUUACAUGUAUGUGUAAUAGUACCUGUGUGCAAGCAAGCCCGACAGUUCUUUCCUUUUUUUUUUUUUUUUUUUAUUUCCUAUCUUGGUAUUUAAAGUAGAUAUACGUAUAUUUUUCUAGGAAAUUAUAUAGGUCAGUGUGCCAAUUUAUAUAUAGGUUAGUAGUUCUCAAUACAUUUAAAGCUAUUUUUCGUUUCCCGUAU